AGUGAACGCUGGCGGUAGGCCUAACACAUGCAAGUCGAACGGCAGCACAGGAGAGCUUGCUCUCUGGGUGGCGAGUGGCGGACGGGUGAGGAAUACAUCGGAAUCUACUUUUUCGUGGGGGAUAACGUAGGGAAACUUACGCUAAUACCGCAUACGACCUACGGGUGAAAGCAGGGGACCUUCGGGCCUUGCGCGAUUGAAUGAGCCGAUGUCGGAUUAGCUAGUUGGCGGGGUAAAGGCCCACCAAGGCGACGAUCCGGAGCUGGUCUGAGAGGAUGAUCAGCCACACUGGAACUGAGACACGGCACAAACUCCUACGGGAGGCAGCAGUGGGGAAUAUUGGACAAUGGGUGCAAGCCUGACCCAGCCAUACCGCGUGGGUGAAGAAGGCCUUCGGGUUGUAAAGCCCUUUUGUUAGGAAAGAAAUCCAUCUGGUUAAUACCCGGGUGGGAUGACGGUACCCAAAGAAUAAGCACCGGCUAACUUCGUGCCAGCCGCCGCAGUAA
rnacentral:rRNA from 1 species